rnacentral:rRNA from 1 species
UACGUAGGGUGCAAGCGUUGUCCGGAAUUAUUGGGCGUAAAGAGCUCGUAGGCGGUCUGUUGCGUCGGCUGUGAAAACCCGGGGCUCAACCCCGGGCCUGCAGCCGAUACGGGCAGACUAGAGUUCGGCAGGGGAGACUGGAAUUCCUGGUGUAGCGGUGAAAUGCGCAGAUAUCAGGAGGAACACCGAUGGCGAAGGCAGGUCUCUGGGCAUUAACUGACGCUGAGGAGCGAAAGCAUGGGGGGCGAACAGG